GGACGAUUAGCUCAGCGGGAGAGCGCUUCCCUGACACGGAAGAGGUCACAGGUUCAAUCCCUGUAUCGUCCACCA
rnacentral:tRNA from 21 species